rnacentral:rRNA from 1 species
ACUACGAUCUCGUCUGCCAGUGGCUGAGGCUAACGGCCGCGGUAUCUUGACCGUGCAAGGUAGCAUAAUCACUUGUCUUUUAAUGGAGACUCGUAUGACGGCGGACCUUUUUCACUGUCUCUUCCCCACCCUUCUAAUUCUUCCUGUGUGAGAACCAGAUACAUCAGAAGACGAGAAGACCCUGUCGAGCUUUACCACUAGUGAGUUUCUUAUCCUUUUUAAUUCACCAAGGUUUGGUGGGGCACCACGGAAAAAAUCCUCGAUAUAUAAGAAAAUCUUAUAUACUUUCGAACAGACGGUAUCGAAAGUACGAGGUACGCUUUCUCUAAAGCCUAUGACAGAGGUGCACUGAGUGAUGGGCCUAGUGCGAGUUAACGGUGAUGUGUAUAAGCCUAUGACGGUCGACGG